rnacentral:tRNA from 1 species
CAGGGAGACAACAAAAUGUAAAUAUUAAUUUUGUCACCUUAGGUCGAUCGGUAUCUCAGAUUCUUAUUAUUUAAGAAUUUCAGUUUCUAAGUUUUUUCUAGGUCACACCCAUCACUUUUUCCUGGGCCAUUAGCUCAGGUGGUUAGAGCGCACCCCUGAUAAGGGUGAGGUCCCUGGUUCAAGUCCAGGAUGGCCCAUAUCUCUAUGUUGGGGGUAUAGCUCAGUUGGUAGAGCGCCUGCUUUGCAAGCAGGAUGUCAGCGGUUCGAGUCCGCUUACCUCCACUGAAUACCACCUCUUACAUAUAGUUGAAGUGGGAAAUUGUUUUGAGUCGUGUCCUAAUUUGCUCUGAGCGAAUCUAGCUUCCUAUUUUAUCCAAGAAAUAAGAUGCUGGACUCAUUGGAUUUUUUUUCAUUGUUUUCAGAGAACCUUGACAACUGCAUAGAUUAUUUUUAAAGACAAUAAGCAUCUUUAAUGAUGCAGAUUUAUUAUUUGUGCGAAUGCAUUAAAUAACAAUUCUAUUAAGCUGAUGCUUCAAUUAUUGAAGUUAUU